rnacentral:lncRNA from 1 species
GCCCAAGACUCUUGUCUCAAAUGAGAAAGUCAGUGUGAAGUCUUAAUAUUUAAAUUAGUGAUUUCUUAAUCAGUGACAUACUUCAGAGUGUUUUCAAUAUAAGGCAGAUAUUGAGCAGUCAACUCCUUGUGUAUGCGAAAUUUUUGUAUACAGCAUAAAAUAACAGAUCUUGAUUAGCUAGUAGUAAAAACCACUCCAUAUGUGAGCUGGAUAAUAACAUUUUCUCCUUAUAGUGCACUAUCAUCUUUUCUGGAAUUUCUCCAGCGUGUGCUGAAUGUUGGCUUCAUCUGCAGAGCAGUUCUGGUGUGCUUGUACUAGAUUCAUGUUUCAUUUAUUUCAAAAAUAAAUACUGUUCCAGGUGCGCAGCAGCUCAGCUUUGACAUCUGAUGGAGACGUAAGAGUCCAAACCAAGGACUAGCUGCUGGAACAGCUUUGAAUGUCCCCAUCACAAAUAUGAUUCAGUCCAAGGGAUGAGAUUAAACUGAGUUUGAAGUAAUCUAAAUCUAAACACAUAAAUCUAAAUAGAUACAUGGAAUUCUUGACUAGCUGCUUUGUCUUCCUAGUUAGGUACUGUUGUAUCAAAUGAUUUGCUAAAGCAUACAUAGCUUAUCAGUGUGCUUCCCCACAGUUAAACUACUUCCAGAAGGCAAAUAAUGACAAUUUCUUUAACAAGAUCUGAAACUACAAGGCACAAGAGCAACAGUAUCAUUUUGAGAACUUUUUAGAUGUGGUAUUGCUAACUUUCUUUUUCUUAAUCCUCUUAGGUUUUGUACAUUGAUGCGUAUGUUUUGUUGAUGAAAUGUUAUUUAAAACUAAGACUUUAUACACUUGCCUCUGUCAGUGAGCAGUAUCUUUUUUUUUUUUUUUUUUAGCCAAAAUCCUUUCUCAUUGCUGUGAAUCCUAGUGCUACAGAAAGAGGUCACUCACUGAACUUCACUGCCUUCUCUGUGAGUGAGCACUGCACCCAAGUCAUUUCAGAAUUCUCUUUCCCCAGAAGUGCUCGGUUACCUCUGAUGAGAGUUCUCUCUCUUCUGGAGCUUCUGUUACCCUGUCACACCUGACAUACACUUAACAAGGUGAGCAGACAGUGCUGUAAUUUGCUAUCAUAUAUGGGAUGUCUUCCUGUGAAUUACUGAACAGCUGGACAUAUCAUGGAGUUUCUUGAAAUCUGAUCUUGUUAUAAUCUUGGACUUCAUCCCUGGUUAAUUGCUCUGUUAGUGGUAUGUUGUGGGGAUAUUCAGAAGUUCUCACCGUGGUCCUAUAACUGAUCCCAAAGAAAGUUCUUGAAUGCUGAUCAGGAUCCACUGUAUGGUUUUAUGAAAUACUGCAUGAGAGCUUUGAGACUAACAAAUCCUGGUCAGAGGUAAACUCUUUAGAUCCAGGAAAAUUUAGGUGGAGGUACAUUAUGUAUUAAGGCUUCAAAAAAACAAACUGAAAAAUUAUAAUUAGAAAUUCUGAAA